rnacentral:rRNA from 1 species
GACGAACGCUGGCGGCGUGCUUAACACAUGCAAGUCGAACGGAAAGGCCCUUCGGGGUACUCGAGUGGCGAACGGGUGAGUAACACGUGGGUGAUCUGCCCUGCACUUUGGGAUAAGCCUGGGAAACUGGGUCUAAUACCGAAUAGGACCACGCUCUUCAUGGUGUGUGGUGGCAAGCUUUUGCGGUGUGGGAUGGGCCCGCGGCCUAUCAGCUCGUUGGUGGGGUAAUGGCCUACCAAGGCGCCGACGGGUAGCCGGCCUGAGAGGGUGACCGGCGACACUGGGACUGAGAUACGGCCCAGACUCCUACGGGAGGCAGCAGUGGGGAAUAUUGCGCAAUGGGGGCAAGCCUGAUGCAGCGGCGCCGCGUGAGGGAUGACGGGCUUCGGGUUGUAAACCUCUUUCACCAGGGACGAAGCGUAAGUGACGGUACCUGGAGAAGAAGCACCGGCCAACUACGUG